GUAAGGAAUAUUGGUCAAUGGACGAAAGUCUGAACCAGCCAUGCCGCGUGGAGGAUGAAGGUCCUCUGGAUUGUAAACUUCUUUUAUAUGGGACGAAAAAAGGCUUUUCUAAGUCGUCUGACGGUACCAUAUGAAUAAGCACCGGCUAACUCCGUGCCAGCAGCCGCGGUAAUACGGAGGGUGCAAGCGUUAUCCGGAUUCACUGGGUUUAAAGGGUGCGUAGGUGGAUUGCCAAGUCCGUGGUGAAAUCUUCGAGCUUAACUCGGAAACUGCCAUGGAUACUGGUGAUCUUGAAUAUCGUGGAGGUUAGCGGAAUAUGUCAUGUAGCGGUGAAAUGCUUAGAUAUGACAUAGAACACCAAUUGCGAAGGCAGCUGGCUACGCGAAUAUUGACACUCAGGCACGAAAGCGUGGGGAUCAAACAGGAUUAGAAACCCGUGUAGUCC
rnacentral:rRNA from 1 species